GGGUGGACGGUACUACUCCAUUCGCAUGGAUCCAAGGCCUUCCUAAGAGCAAGCCGUAGGAAGUUCUUGCAUCAAUCACGUGGAAUAUCAUGCUUGACUUGAGUUCACCAAUAGUCAUCUCCACUCGGAUCAUGCCUAUCGCUCUUUGUCCUCCUUGAUUAAAACCUUGGAUUAGUAGACGACUUAGGGACAGUUCAUCUGCUUUGA
rnacentral:lncRNA from 1 species